AAAAUUCAAAGAGUUGCAAAGGUUUAAGAGGAUGAUCAAUCUCCUGUACAGACUUUGAUCCCCAUGGAUGUCUUGCCAAGGUGAACAGAAAAGAAGUUGACAUCUACUAUUAAUGAACAAACAUACGUACAAAGUUAAUCUCAUCAUUAUAGUAACAGAAUCAAUACACUUUUUUCAUUGAAUUAAGCUAUAACAAUGUUUUACCUCCAAAGUGAAGUUUCUCUCCUUUCAAGGAUCUCCACUCUACAAACAAGAGCAAUUAUAUAAAGUAAAGUUAGUCUUUUUCAAAUUUCAACAAAGCGAAGAAGAAAACUUACAGAGAAAAGCUUGAGAAGAGGGCAGAGAACAGAAAGGAAGCUGCUUGAUGACGAUUAUGAACUGAUUCCUCCACCACUAGAAAUUUCUUCGGAAGUAGCAUCUGGGUCAGCCGAAGACUUCGCAUUCCGCAGUUUCGCCUGAACUUCACGAAACCCGCCGGCGGUAAGUUGAAAU
rnacentral:lncRNA from 1 species